CGCAAAUAUUCUGAAGGACUGAGACGCUUAAGCCUGAUGAGAUCCAUAGCUUAAACGGAGGGCGAGGAGCGAAACACAGUGUCUUGCAAUAUAGGCACAGGGGAACAAAGAAACUUCUGUUCACCUCAGCUUUACGUAAGUGGGAAUAGAGCAGGAGCCAGGCUAACCAUCACCUGUCCUGCUGCCAAGUUCCUGCAGAGGUUCCUCCACAUUAAUCACGCUGUUUAAUCACGGCCAUCUGUUCCAACAGCCAGCUAUGUGGCAGUCCCUCGGGGCUGGGACACACCCACACCCACCCCCCGCGACGGUACCCGAGGCAGGUGGAGCUCGGUGAGGGGUGAAGGCGGCCCCUAGGGCGGGGAAGGUCGAGCAGCACCUGGAGGCGGCGGGGAGGAGGCCGGGGGCCGAGCUGUGGAGGCCAUUUGCCGGCGGGCGGGUUUCAGAGCUGGAACUUGCUGUGUGUUUUGAAGGCAGCCAAGAAGGAACUUUAAUGGCUCUCCUGGAAGUUGUUCAAAAGCCACUCCCAUUGACUGCAUCGGACAUUGGAUAAGGCCCCAAAAGCAAUUUCCAGGGAGGUAGAAGGUAAGGGAUAAUAAUUUGAAUACUAUAGGCCUGUAUUAAGAAUGCUUCUGGAAGGUGACAUUAAAAUUUCCAAGUGUAUCUUUUAGCCAUACAAAAAAUAUAUC
rnacentral:lncRNA from 1 species